UACACUUAGUUGCCUAAUCAGUGUUUAAUCUUCGCUUAGUUGAUUAGACUGCAUGGUGGAUGACUGAUUGGAUUUGAGCAUUGCAUUCGCUUAGUUUGCAAUUUUGAAAACCGAAUUACCCUUCGCUUAGUUGGGUGAUUCGUGGUGGAUGACUGAUUGGAUUUGAGCAUUGCAUUAGAUUUGCAUUUCUGUUUACGUCUAUUUUUACAUUUCUGUUUGCAUCCGUCCUUUGAUUUAAUUCUUCCGCAUUCACAAACUUUUCACAACCCCCCC
rnacentral:lncRNA from 1 species